UCCUGACCUAGUAAUGUCUGAUGGGGACUCCUUCUCCACUUCAUUUUCACCUGGGAGAACUUGGUGAAGGAACUGAUGAAAGUACUGAAGUUGGUCACCGUGCUGAAGAAAAAAUUCCUAUUUAACAAUAAAUGGAAGAUUUUGUGUGUGAGACAAAGUUGCCUGUUUUCCCACGUGACCCACUUGGAGGAAAGAUAAAAAAGGAGUCAGCGCCCUCUGCCUGGACCGAGUGGAGUGAACGGGUGCUGCCGGCAGGUGCUGGGCGUCUGUCGAUGGCUUGCACCUCCCAGAUGGCGUGCCUGCAGCAGGAGUACAGGGCCCCUGGCUCACCUGGAGGCCCCGGCUCUCUGGGCUCCCGUGCGGUUCCUGACUUUUAAAGGUAGGAAAACUCUUUAACACAGAAGAGCACUCCUG
rnacentral:lncRNA from 1 species